rnacentral:rRNA from 1 species
AUGGAGGCGUUCAGGAAGCAGGCGAACAAGUUCAAGGAGCAGGUCGCCAAGCAGCAGCAGGCUGUGAUAAAACAAUUCAGCACUACUGGUUACGAGCGUUCAGAUUCUGUUGUCAUUGAUGAAGUUGAAUUACAGCAACAUCAAAGGCUUGAGAAAUUGUACAGUUCUACUCGUUCUGGAAGGGAUUUCCAAAAGGACAUAGUUCGAGCAGCUGAAGGCUUGGUGUCUAUUGGAAGCAAGCAUAUUGAAGUGGGAACAAAAUUUUCUGAGGAUUGCUAUAGAUAUGGAGGUGAAAAUAAUGCUGAUGGUGAAGCUCUUACAAAAGCCGCAUCACUGUAUGGAGGUGCUUUGAGAAAUGUUGAAAAAGAGUAUGAAGAUUUCAAUAGAACUUUAUGUUCUCAGAUCAUAGAUCCAUUGAAGGCGAUGGCUGUGUGCGCUCCCCUGGAAGAAGCUCGUGGUUUUGCACAACGUUAUAGCCGGAUGAGACAUGAAGCUGAGAUACUCUCUGCUGAAAUUGCUAGAAGGAAGGCACGGGUAAGAGAAUCUCCAGUUGCUGAGCACACUACAAAACUUGAGCAAUCUGAAGGUAAGAUGAUAGAGCACAAAGCAAGCAUGGCUGUGUUGGGAAAAGAGGCUGUUGCUGCACUUGGUGCUGUUGAAUCUCAGCAAAAGAGGGUAACUCUUCAGCGCCUGGUUGGCAUGGUAGAAGCAGAGAAGUUGUUCUAUUUGAGGUUAGCUGCCAUACUUGAUGAUGUUGAAGCUGAGAUGUCAUCUGAGAAGCAAAAGAGAGAGUCUGCACCUCCUUCCCGUAAGCGUGCCGAGAUGGCCCAGUACUUCCUCGCCGAGGCAGUGCAUAACUUCAAUGGUACCACGGAGAAGGAACUGAGCUUAAUUGUUGGUGAUUAUGUUGUUGUUCGUCAGAUUGCUCCCAACGGUUGGGCGGAAGGGGAAUGCAGAGCGAAGGCAGGGUGGUUUCCGGCUGCCUAUGUCGAGAGGCGCGAGAAUAUCCCCCCGAAUAAAGUCUUCCCGCAGGCAUAG